UCCCUCUUAGCUCAGUGGUAGAGCACAUCACUCGUAUCAAUUCGCUCUCCGAGUCUUAUGAUGAGGUCAGUCGUUCAAUCCGGCUAGCGGGAA